AUUCCUGAUUUGGUGGUGAAAUUUUUACAGUGUAGAACAUGGAGCUGCCAGUGGCCCCAUGAAGAAAGCUUGUGGUAAGAAUAAGUGAAAUGUGCAGAGAAGCAGAAAUGAAGGUGGAGACAGGGUCCCGGCGCUGAACUAGUACCAGUGUACUGAUGUAUUGCUACAGGUUUUCUGAAGCUCACCCUACUCCUCUCCUAUCAGUGUUCUUCAGAGAUGUUCCUGGCAUGUUGGAGACAGAGGUAGUAUGAUUCCUAGUACUGGAGCAUCUUAGUCAAACUCCGCUGCAUUUUUAAGCAUGUUCUAAACAUAUUGCCAGCCCGAUGACAUUUCAUCCAUCCUUUGGCAACCACCUCAGAAACAAAGCAAGCAGCUGUGGACAUGCUACAAAGUAACCCCACAGUGCACUGCUGGGAGGGCAGCCUACCCAGAUUAUUCCCUUCCAGGAUGAUCAGCAAUUGAUUGCGAUCUCCUCAUGACAUUAGAAGCAAAUACAAAUUCAUCUUCCGUAAUUUCCAAUGCUUCAUGUGAAAUGGAAUUCAGCUUUCUAAAAAUAUUAUCCUUACUUUGCUUAUAGAAAACCUUACAUGUGUUUUUACCAUGCCAGGUAACUAACAGUUAUGCAGGUUACUUAGAAAUCACUCAAAUGUCAGGAGAUUCCCUAAAGAGUAGUAUUUUUACACUAUUUUUAAUAUUCUGAUGCUAUGUUCUAGCUCCCUUAUUGACUUUGCUGUAAUUGGGAUGUAGUCAAUGAGCUCUCAACUUCUACCUCUCUGGGUCAUUACACCUAUUGUAUGAAACCUAAAACCUCAAAUAGUUCUUACAGAACUUUUUUCCUAUAUAGAAUUUUAGUUGGGUGAAAAUUGUACUAAACUAUCAAGCAAACACUUCUAAAUUUAAGAGGACAUUCCUGUAAUACCAUCUGUGCUGCAAAAGGAAAAAAUAAAAUCAUUUUCCUCUUGUAUCCUUUGUUCCAUUAAACUGGAGUCAUGGAUGGAGUGAAAGAGAACCCACUACCAAUAGGGAUUGCGGGUAAAAGCACCAAGAUGUCAGAAAUGUUGAAAAACACAAACCACCCUUCUUGCAUCUGCCUUUAUGAAACUACUUGGCUGAAACAGACAAAGGAAGAACAGAGGCUAGAAUGCCUCAUUGCCAGCCCUUCUCCAGUAAAGGGUGCUGCAAUGGCUUGAAUAAAUUAUUACCAUCAGGACUGUACUCCUUUAUCCAUUCAUUCUGUGCAGAAGGAAAACCAGGUUCAUUGCUUCCUUCUGCAAUAUCAAACUUUCAAGAUACUUUUACUUUUUUAUCCUAAUUUGAAUUUUUUCCCUUACUCUAAUUCCUCAGUUUGUGCUACAAAUUAGAUAUGCUGCCAGAGCGUACUAAUUCAUGAGUCCACCGACAUCUAUUAAUGGGCACAAUGGUGAAAACCCAGCUCUGUCUGCCACAUAAGUAUUCAUGUUUAUAAAGGAACAUUUGAAAGCAUGAGGGAAUUUGACCCAAAGGCCAAAAGUGGCUUCCUCUUUUCGGCAGCAUCCAGUUUAGGUCAAAACAAUUUCUUGGAAAAUGACUCAAGUUUCCAUGUCAUUCGAUUUAAUAAAAACUUCCUAUUUCAACUGUCUAAUUUUUUUUCCCUGUGAAACACCCAAAUAGUGAGGUUCUGGUUGUGAAGAAAGCAUGAGUUAGUAUGCCAAAAUAACGAUGCUCAUGAGUCCUGUUACUUUAUAAUGAAUUUGAUGUUUGGAGUAUUAAAUAUCCAAAGACUAGGCUAAAGAGUCUUACUAUAUCUUGAGUAACAGAAUAACUUAUCAUCUGGACUUGUUAAUACUUUUAAGAGUAGAAGUAAACAAUUAAUUUUUGAUUAUUGAUGACUGAUAACUUGGUUUUAUUAUAUUGGACCUAUAAAACUAUUCCAUUUUUAUUUCACAAAUACAUUAUUUUCAAAUAAAAAAUAGAUUUUUGUGCAUUAAAAUAAAUUUGAUCAUCUGGAUAUUUAAAAAUGACACACGAAGAAUGAUUAUUUGUGAUAUAUAUUCAUAUAUUUUAGUCAGUUACUAGCUACAACUGUCUAUAUACCGAUGUCAGGAUUACUUUUCAAAAGAAUGUACUUUUUAAUGGCAUCUUUUUAUUUCUAAUAUUGCACGAAAUUGUUAUUAAUCACCUUCAGAGGUGUCAUUAAAUUGACACCUUAAUUGACUCCACUGUAGACUAUACUUUUAAUAAUACUUUCUGAAGCUGGGCAUGGUGGCUCACGCCUGUAAGCCCAGCACUUUGAGAGGCCAAGGCGGGCAGAUAACGAGGUCAGGAGAUGGAGACCAUUCUGACCAACAUGGUGAAGCCCAGUCUCUACUAAAAAAUACAAAAAUUAGCUGGGCAUGGUGGCGCGUGCUUGCAGUCCAAGCUGAGGCAGGAUAAUCACUUGAACCAGGGAGUCAGAGGUUGCAGUGAGCCCAGAUGGCGCCACUGCACUCGAGCCUGGCGACAGAGCG
ensembl:lncRNA novel transcript, antisense to MCTP2